CUCUAUGGCGGCUGUGUGCGGGCAGACUUCGGUCUGGCCGGAGUCCUACUGUCCGGUAUUCUCACCCUGCACAUAGCUGCCACCCUU
rfam:Pseudomonas fluorescens ABAC62 scaffold569_001, whole genome shotgun sequence.